rnacentral:rRNA from 1 species
UUUAAAGAGAGUUUGAUCCUGGCUCAGGACGAACGCUGGCGGCGUGCCUAAUACAUGCAAGUCGAACGAACGGAGGAAGAGCUUGCUCUUCCAAAGUUAGUGGCGGACGGGUGAGUAACACGUGGGCAACCUGCCUGUAAGUUGGGGAUAACUCCGGGAAACCGGGGCUAAUACCG